AGUCUUUGAAGACCAGACCUGGGAAUCCACCUUUCAAACAUGCUUCUCCAAAGGUUGAGAAACUCAGGAUUCUUUUAUUUGUAAGUGAAGAAAACCCUUUUGAAACUGGCUUACGCAAAAGAGGCAAUUUAUUGGCUGAAGUAACUGAAAAACACUGGCUUUAGGCCUAGCUGGUUGUGAACUCAAAUGAGAUUGCCAGACAGAGUCUCUUGCCAUCUCUUGCCUUUGCUCUUUGGUGCGUUGGCUCCGUCCUCAGACUCCACCUGACAAGAUGGGCCUGCCUUCUGCCCCGCACAAGUCCGGCGGGAAAAGGAGGACAAUUUCCUGAAAACUCUGCCGUAUUUCCAGCAUCCACUCUGAUUGGACUAACUUAGGACAUGGUCCGUCUCUGAACCAAUCACUGUCACCAAAGGAAGGCAAUGUUCAGACUGUCCAGGUCUGGUCACUUGCCUAUUGAGCCCUCAGAACCGAAUUCUGUUGGACCGAGGAGCAACACGCAAGGCCUAGGGAAUGGAUUCUGUUUGGUCUAAGCCAGCAUGCCCAAAGUGCCCUACCUGAUCCACCUCCAGAUGUACAAGUUUAAAGCACAGAAGACAGAACGGAAAAGGCUGCCACUCCUCUACGAUGAUUCUGGUUCCAGAGCCAGUCCGGUUUGUCCCACUUUGCUCUUUAUCCCCUCAGGAAGCUCUUUUGCAUGUGAUCAGCAUUAAUCAUUCAUCAGGACCCUACCACCCUGGGCUGAAUUGUGUAAAUGUCCUUGCAAGUCUGAAGGUUGCCCCAAGCCCUGGGCUAGCACUUACAUGGAGAAGGUAGGACGGGGCUGGGCUGACCUAGGAGUUUGGCCUCCACCAUUUAAAUUUUUGUUUUGAAUUUUUUUAUUUGUUAAUAAUAUCAAGCCUACAGAAGAGUUGGAGGAAUAAAAAUAGGACAAAGAACACCUGUAUACCCUUCGCCUCAAUGUACCUACUGUUACUAUUUUACUCCCCAUUCUUUGGCAUUUGUGGUCACUCCAGCUCUCUAUCUACCUCCGUGUUUAUGCAAUCUGGGUAAGAGAGCAUGGGGAAAGUGACCGCACUGGUUACGAUAUUUUCAACUGCAAGUGACAGCAUGCCUGACUAAUAGUGGCUUAAGUGAAGACGAAAUGCAAUUAUCCUAUGUAACGAAAUCUCUGGAGGUCAGCAGCUCCAAGGUCGUUGCGGUGGCUCCAUGGUGUUGUCAAGGACCCAGGCUUAUCUUUCUGCUACAUCAUCUCCAGUGGUUGGAUUUUGGCCUCAGACUCAUCACCCACCCCAGCUAUUGCUGCCUCAUAGGAUGUUUGACCCCAGGACACCGAUCAAAGCAGGAAGGAAGGGAUGGGGGCAAAAGGCUCUCACCCCCUUGAGGGUCUAUCUUAUUAAUGAAGUGGUCCCUCAGGUUUCCCCUGACCUUUCAUUGGCUAAGAGCUGGAUCAUAUGCCCAUUCUGGACCAAUCUCUGCUGAAGGAGAAUGCUUCACUUUUACUUAAGAUGGGCCCUGAUUUAUCUAAUGGGAUUGGAGAGCCACCCACCCUCCAAAGACCGAGGGAUUUCUACCCCCAGCUGAGCUCCAAACCAAGGUUCUUGAGGCAGGAAAGACAGGGACACGGGAUGGGGAAGCUUCUGGGUCGCAAGGGGCAGUGUGUCAGAUGGAAUGAGGUUUAUUAGAGGGUAGGAGAGGUGUUCUGCUUGUGAAAAAUAAAUAUGAGAAGAAA